GCUGACGAAGAUGGCGACUGAGGCACAGAGCGAAGGGGAGGUGCUAGCCCGCGAAUCCGGGCGGAGUGAUGCCAUCUGCAGUUUUGUGAUCUGCAAUGAUUCUUCCCUUCGAGGUCAGCCCAUUAUCUUUAAUCCUGACUUUUUUGUGGAGAAACUCCGACAUGAGAAACCUGAGGUUUUCACUGAGUUGGUGGUCAGCAAUAUCACAAGGCUCAUCGAUUUACCUGGAACCGAGUUGGCUCAGCUGAUGGGGGAAGUGGACCUUAAGUUGCCUGGCGGGGCCGGCCCAGCAUCAGGAUUCUUCCGGUCUCUCAUGUCUCUCAAGCGAAAGGGUAGGAGAUGUGUCUGUGAAGGGUGGGCAGGCCUUAGCUGCUCCCUGGGCUUCUCUCUCAACAUCUACACAUUCACUGAAGAGUUGCUAUUAACUGAAAGCAUUUUUUUGGCCAUUUUUUCAGUUUUUAUAAGUAGUAACACCUUAAGUAAUAGUAAUACAAACUAUAAAAACUGUCUAGAUAAAUAAAUAAUUAAACUAAAGCAAAUAUUUUUAGUCCCUGAGAGAUGACAUGAUUAACUUAGGUAGUUAUCAGGGGCGUCUUGAUUUUCAUGCCCUAUUAAUAUGUGAAAAUAAUCUUUAAAAACCAAAGUUACAUAGCUAGAGACUAUAGAACAGAAUGCUUGAAUUUUCUUUUUUUUAAGGGAUGGGGUCUCACUCUGUUGCUGAUGCUGGAGUGCAGUGGUGUCAUCAUAGCUCACUACAGCCUUGAAUUCCUGGGCUCAAACUAUCCUUCUGUCUCAGCCUACCACUAGCUGGGAC
rnacentral:sRNA from 1 species